GAAACAGGACAUAGGAAGAAGUUUCAAGUGGAGGUUGCUGCCAUGUUUAGAGAAGUAUCUGUGACUUUCUCAGAAAGUUCUACUUUUCUUAAUUUGUGUUCAGUUUUAUAGUUAAAAGCUGCUUUGUUCUGCCUCAUCAUCCUGGAUUUAUUUGGCUGCUACACCCACUGUAGAGGAACCCUUCCUUGUAAACAAGAUAAACCUGCUAAAGCUGCUAGACCCUGGAUCCUUGUCAGCACCAAGAUAUUUAUUGGUCCCUGCUCAUGUGAUGUUUUCCUGGUGGAUCCUGUGUGUCACCGUAUGCAUGGAAUGAAGUUAUGUCAGAGCAGGUUAGGGACUUCCGGUGUUGCUUCUCUUCUGGACCUCCAGCAUCCUGGGAAUUGAUAUGCAGGAGACUUACCUGAUGCUGUGGAGGCCUUUAGGAACAUGCUUCUGGUGUGUCACACAAAACUCACAGCUGUUGGUUUAUCCCUGCUGGAAGAGAAGUGUGGGUUUUUAACGUUGUUUCCUCUGGCCCAUUCCACUCCUAUCUUCAGAGCAGCUAGCUUUGAAACUCAGAGUCCUAGGGAUGCACCUGCUGGGUAACCAGUCUGCAGUAGUUCAAGUUUUAGACCUGCUGAUGUGCUUCUUGUGAAGAACCAGUACUGUCAGAGUUGAGCUGAGCCACGUGUUAUGCUGCAGCACAUCUUUACUUCUCUUUAGCACAGGCAAAGGACCGUAACUGUAAUGCUCUGUGUUAUCCUAAAGCUAGCACUUCCAUUCUGUUGGUGGUUUUGCUUACCCUAGCAAAAAUAACUUUUGAAUCCUUCUGGAGAUCAACCUUCAGGUUUCAUUAUAAACACUUUUUUGGGUGUAAUGGACUUAGGUUGCACAAUAGAUAAAGGUUUUGUCGUUUGAGUAGUUAGGUUCAACUGUGACUUUUAUCUCAACUGAGGAAAUUAUUCAUUUUCUUUUUAUAUGUAAGCUGAAAAGCCUGAACAUAGCCGCAAGCUGCAAUGAGUUUACUUUUGAGUGUCUUAGUGAAAUUCACAAAAAUGGCAAGUUUGUUUUUCCAAUUGUAUACUUUUAUUAAGCUGUCUUCACUUAGUGUAAAACUUAGCUUAUUUACUUCUCAGCCGUUGUGGUGGUGGUCUCCCUGUCAGUUGUUAUAUAUCCUGUGGUGGCAGGAUGAAACCUGUGGUGCCUGAUCCAAUCUCUGACCCCACAGCAACUAGUUCCAGUUGCUUUUGUAGGGAUGUUGAUGGCUCUCCAUCCUUUUGGAGUAGCUUUCUGUGUGGGAGGGAUUCCUUCCCAAGGCUGAGCUGGUUCAUGGGCUUGUGAGGAUAGAUGUAUAUAUGUUGAUUAGUUUCUUUGAGUUGUGCUCUCCUAUCCCAAUACCAAUGUUGUGCAUAGUUUAAUGACCAUCUAUAGCGAUUUUUACUGCCAUACAGUUGUUUAGCAGUAGCAAGAGUGCAGUUGGGGACUUUCCGCUUUGCCUUUUUUCAAGUCUUCCCCCAGCCCAUCUUUCUUCUGGCGUGUUUGGAGAGCACAAGGCCAUGGUGUACGGCUGCUGCGCCCCGGGCCCCCGCCUCGCAUGCAUCAAUUCAUCAGCUUGAUCUUUCCACCCCUGCUCCUCGGGAGGGUCGGAUGGCAGCUGCGGCUCCUGUCAACCAUGAUGCCGGGCAGGGAGCUUUAGGGAGGAGAGUUACAAAAGACCCAGCUUAAAUCGUCUGUGUAAGGGCACAGCAGAGGCUCUGUCACCCAGGCACCACCGCUUGUCUUCUGGUGCUAUGGUUGUAAUGGCAUUAGCAUUUCAAAAAGGGGAUUACCACAGCCCUCCGGUUCUGAGGGGAGGAUAUUUUGGCUGUUAUUUGAAAAGCCGCUUUCUGGCUAUCUCUCCUUUUAUUUUUCCUGCAUGUGGAUCCUGAAGGGUUGGUGAAGGUGGUUGCGCCAUGUUAAAAGUGGGUUGUUGCUGCUGUUUGUUGGCCUAAACGUGGGCUGGUAGAUGUGAAGUUGUCACAUUCUUGCUGUCACAGUUGACAGCACUUUCUUGCUGAUUUGGAGAAACUGUCUUCACAAUUUCCUAAUGGGAAAGUUAAAUUAAAUAACCUGUGUUGGGGUCACAACUGUGUGAUGGAGAACUAUCCUGAAGUCAUGCUUACAAGGAGAAGUUAAGGUAGUUUGUCUCAUGUAUUUCAACCAAAGAAAAUGGGCAGCACACAUCCUAUUCAUUGUCUGCCUUCCACACCUCUUGUGGUACCAUAAAACCACUUUCUGUGCCCAGGCACAGGAUUUUAGGUUCCUUGGGAAAACAAUGGUGUUUUUAUAAGGUGGCCUUUAAAAACAAAAAUUCCUCUAGUGAAACUUUCUUGCAACUCUGUCGCAUUACUGUCACCUCAGAUCAAUAUUCAGUUAAUCUUCAUUUUUCAGUGAGUUCACUUUCCCUUUCUGAUGUUGCUUGUGCUGGAAGUUUGCAUUAAGGCCCUAUUUACACUGAACCACAUGGAAAAUCCCCACGGUUACUGUCUCCUCUCCAGUUCCAUUAGCUGUAGAAAUGAUGGGUUGGGCCCGACAGGUUGGUCGUCUGGUCCCUGGAGGAAGAGAGCGAAGGGAAUUGUCUUGUUUGCCUACCAGAGAUAGGGAAGAGUACUUUGUGCAACCUCUUCAACCGUGUGUGGGUCCUAAAAUUAGUGGCUGACCCAUAGUAUCUAAAUUAGGAGCCCCUUGGCUUGACUGUGUGCAUGUUGGAGGUUGGAGGACAUGUAGCAGACAAUGUUGGUGGUUGCCUGGGGCCUUGACCUGAGUAGUAUUGCUAGUGCUGUGUGUAUUGAAGUGCUGAAUAAGAAUGGAAAGGUUUGUUUUGUAGAGACGUUAUUAGUUGCUUAGGUUGAAGUCUUCAUAGGCCUUAAUUAAUCUUUGUGUGUGCCCACAAGGACUUGCAUGUUCAUGUAGGGCAUAGCUUACUAAGUGGUUUUGCAAAGCAGUGCUGGCUUGAGUCAGGGCUGUCCCUUGCUCUGGGUGCUGCUGGGAGCAGCCGUGAGCUGGGACUCCCGAGGUGACUCCUGGCUCCUGUGUAGGGACAAACAGCUGGAGACCAGCUGGAAGAGCUGCAUAGCUCUUCCUGAAAGAGGUGGCAGGCGUGGCCCAUAGAUAAGCUGUCCCUCAGGGCAUCAAGGAGGAGCAGAGUUACAGUUUUCUUUGUAAACACAGUGCAAGGUACUUGGUGUGCUGAGGAAGGGAGGCAUUUAACUUCUCCAUGUGAAAACAGGAACUGUGGAAGGCCUUCCAGGAGCGUGGUGGUUGCUGACGUGUGUGUUUAUUCAGCAUAUUUCUAACUCUGCCAGUCUCCAGGCCUGCUCUAAGCUGCUUAUUUCUGUAGGGCACACAUCUGUCCAUAAGCUUCAACAAGCAUGGAGUGUCUGCCUACAACAUAAGAUAUCAACAAGGAUGGUGGAGCUUUUGGGUGCCCUGUGCCUCAGGUGAGCUGGACAGGAAGCACAAGGCAGCAGAGAUGCAAGUCUCUAUGGUCACUGUCUUGUCCUCUCCCUUUUUCUAGUUCUCCAAAUGCAUCAGCAGACACAGCUAUGCAAAUCUGCCAGCUGUCUCCUUGGGAAGUUAGUCAACAAGUCGCUGUGCAACCAGCUCUAAUUGCACAGGCUUUUGAAUUUGCAUUUAAAGUAAGCUACCGUGCAUCUUUGUGUGGCUGGUUUUGGGAUGUGUGAAUUUCUGCAUCCUCUUUUCAAAACACCUUUUCUGGUAGUGAUGAUAGAAAUUAAAUACUCAGUAUUAUGGUGGAAGCAGGCUGGAGAAAAAGUAGAACUGUAAAUCUGAAUGCUGUGAAUGGAAAACCUGAGAACUAAAGAAUGUAGGAAAUUACAAACAGCCUUGAUUCUGAGGGGUGAUCAAAAUUUGGGUUUACUUGGGGGGGAGACACCCUCUGUCGUUCUUUCCAAUCUCACUACCAUUACUGUUUUAAGGCUUGCAAGAGAAAGAUAAGGGCUGUGAAAAUUAGAAUUAAUAAGUGCUGGUCAUAAUGUUUAGUGGUGCGAGAGCAUUUAUAAUUAUGGAGUAAGAGGAGGGGAAAAAAGCAUGAAGGAGAAAGCAGUUUUAUUUCCCUUGCUCCCUGUUUGGAUUAAUGAAUUUAAUUACUUGGAAAUAGCUAGUAGCAAACUUGUGGGUUUUUCCAAAUGUGCUUUUAACAAGACAGCAAAUUUUAAAAGAAGAGGCAAUUCAGUAAAAAUAAUUGAAGACAUAAGAACUUAACUGCUAUAUCCCCCAUUGCAAGUGCUUUUUGUCAGUAGAUGUUAAGAGAACUGAAUUAAUAUGCCUCUGAUGUACUGGGAGGGAAGAAACCAGGGCAAGAAGACGCAAUUCUAAGUGCAGGGAAGCAAGUGAGAUACCGACUUUCAAAUAGAUCCUUAUAAUAAAGUUGUUCAUUCUUUUUGUUCCUGUCA